GCCCGACUAGCUCAUCGGUAGAGCGCCUCACUAGUAUAUUCUCUCUCGAAAAAAGAACGGCGCUAACCGGUUCUUAUAAAGGGUUAGGUUAAAGUUAAUGAGGAGGCAACAGGUUCGAUUCCUGUGUUGGGCA
rnacentral:tRNA from 1 species